ACUCCUACGGGAGGCAGCAGUGGGGAAUAUUGGACAAUGGGCGCAAGCCUGAUCCAGCAAUGCCGCGUGUGUGAAGAAGGCCUGCGGGUUGUAAAGCACUUUUGUUCGGGAAGAAAGCUUGCUGAUUAAUACCUAGCAAGGAUGACGGUACCGAAAGAAUAAGCACCGGCUAACUUCGUGCCAGCAGCCGCGGUAAUACGAAGGGUGCAAGCGUUAAUCGGAAUUACUGGGCGUAAAGGGAGCGUAGGCGGCUUUUUAAGUCGGAUGUGAAAUCCCCGGGCUUAACCUGGGAAUGGCAUCCGAUACUGGGGAGCUAGAGUUUGGGAGAGGGUGAUGGAAUUCCCGGUGUAGCGGUGAAAUGCGUAGAGAUCGGGAGGAACAUCAGUGGCGAAGGCGGUCACCUGGCCUAUAACUGACGCUGAAGCUCGAAAGCGUGGGGAGCAAACAGGAUUAGAUACCCUGGUAGUCCACGCCCUAAACGAUGAGAACUGGACGUUGGGAGGAAUUUGCCUC
rnacentral:rRNA from 1 species